GUCGGGGUAGAUCAGUGGAAGAUCGUUCGCCUAACACGCGAAAGGUCCCCGGAUCAAAACCGGGUCUCGAUA
rfam:Vitrella brassicaformis CCMP3155 genome assembly, contig: scaffold531